GGUUGACCUCGAAUCAGGUAGGGAUACCCGCUGAACUUAAGCA
rnacentral:rRNA from 1 species